AUCGUUCAUUCAGUGCUCUUUUUUAGUGCAUUGAACGGAAGUAGGAAAACCUGAAAACCUCUAUCUGAAAAGAUAGGUAAGCAAGUACCCAUAAGGGGAACGAGACCGAAAGUUUUACCGAAGGAACGCGUU
ncrna:unclassified sequences Glutamine riboswitch